ACCAGACUCCUACGGGAGGCAGCAGUGGGGAAUAUUGCACAAUGGGGGAAGCCCUGAUGCAGCGACGCCGCGUGAGCGAAGAAGUAUUUCGGUAUGUAAAGCUCUAUCAGCAGGGAAGAAAUUGACGGUACCUGAGUAAGAAGCUCCGGCUAAAUACGUGCCAGCAGCCGCGGUAAUACGUAUGGAGCAAGCGUUAUCCGGAUUUACUGGGUGUAAAGGGAGCGUAGGCGGCCUGCCAAGUCUGAUGUGAAAUACCGGGGCUCAACCCCGGGGCUGCAUUGGAAACUGAGCAGCUAGAGUGCAGGAGAGGUAAGUGGAAUUCCUAGUGUAGCGGUGAAAUGCGUAGAUAUUAGGAGGAACACCAGUGGCGAAGGCGGUCUGCUGGACAGCAACUGACGCUGAGGCGCGAAAGCGUGGGGAGCAAACAGGAUUAGAUACCCCCGUA
rnacentral:rRNA from 1 species